rnacentral:rRNA from 1 species
CAUGCAAGUCGAGCGGUAACAUUUCUAGCUUGCUAGAAGAUGACGAGCGGCGGACGGGUGAGUAAUGCUUGGGAAUAUGCCUUAGGGUGGGGGACAACAGUUGGAAACGACUGCUAAUACCGCAUAACGUCUACGGACCAAAGGGGGCUUCGGCUCUCGCCCUUAGAUUAGCCCAAGUGGGAUUAGCUAGUUGGUGAGGUAAUGGCUCACCAAGGCGACGAUCCCUAGCUGGUUUGAGAGGAUGAUCAGCCACACUGGAACUGAGACACGGUCCAGACUCCUACGGGAGGCAGCAGUGGGGAAUAUUGCACAAUGGGCGCAAGCCUGAUGCAGCCAUGCCGCGUGUGUGAAGAAGGCCUUAGGGUUGUAAAGCACUUUCAGUAAGGAGGAAAGGUUAGUAGUUAAUACCUGCUAGCUGUGACGUUACUUACAGAAGAAGCACCGGCUAACUCCGUGCCAGCAGCCGCGGUAAUACGGAGGGUGCGAGCGUUAAUCGGAAUUACUGGGCGUAAAGCGUACGCAGGCGGUUUGUUAAGCGAGAUGUGAAAGCCCCGGGCUCAACCUGGGAACUGCAUUUGGAACUGGCAAACUAGAGUAUGA